rnacentral:rRNA from 1 species
AGGGUUCGGCCCUCGGCAGACUGCUCAGUAACACGUGGAUAACCUAACCUCGGGUCGGGGAUAACCCCGGGAAACUGGGAGUAAUACCCGAUUCGUUACCUAUGCUGGAAUGCUUGGUAACCUAAAGCUCCGGCGCCCGAGGAUGGGUCUGCGGCGGAUUAGGUUGUCGCCGGUGUAACGUACCGACGAGCCGAUAAUCCGUACGAGUUGUGAGAGCAAGAGCCCGGAGAUGGAUUCUGAGACACGAAUCCAGGCCCUACGGGGCGCAGCAGGCGCGGAAACUUUACAAUGCAGGAAACUGCGAUAAGGGAACUCUGAGUGUUUGGGACAUUCUCAAACUGUUCGGGUACCUAAAUAGUAUCUGAUAGUAAGGGCCGGGCAAGACCGGUGCCAGCCGCCGCGGUAACACCGGCGGCCCGAGUGGUAACCGAUAUUAUUGAGCUUAAAGGGCCCGUAGCCGGCUUGGCAAGUCCCUUGGGAAAUCUAACGGCUUAACCGUUAGGCAUCCAGGGGAUACUACCAGGCUUGGGACCGGGAGAGGUAGGAGGUACUCCGGGGGUAGGGGUGAAAUCCUGUAAUCCUCGGGGGACCACCGGUGGCGAAGGCGUCCUACCAGAACGGCUCCGACGGUGAGGGACGAAAGCUAGGGGCACGAACCGGAUUAGAUACCCGGGUAGUCCUAGCCGUAAACGAUGCGGGCUAGGUGUCACAUUAGCCAUGAGCUACUGUGGUGCCGCAGGGAAACCGUGAAGCCCGCCGCUUGGGAAGUACGUCCGCAAGGAUGAAACUUAAAGGAAUUGGCGGGGAGC